UAAAGGAUGAUUGGAAAUGGGGGCCCCCAUGAUGUCUUAGAGGAUUGGAAGAGAACUGUGAUCAUCCACAUAUCUGAGCACCAUGAACAGACUAGCUACAGGAUCAGUGCACCCUGCCGUAAAAAGCCAGCUGCAAUGAAACACUUUUGAAUGGAGAAGGAUCUGGAGGUUGAAGAUAUCAGAGAAGCUUCCCGCUGGUCUGGAAAGGAGAUCAGUUAUGCCUGAGGAAACAGAACCUACAAAUAACCAAAGCACUCCUUGGUAGGGGCCUUAUGCCCACCACCAUUUUUGCGAGUUAACCUGGCUAUAAGAUGAUUCCUGUGCUAUAGCUGCUGGAGGUAGCCUGAUCAAAAAACACCACAAUUGUGGAGAUGAUUGAUUCUUCUUUUUAUCACCUGUAAUACCCCUAUCUUUCCUCCAUGUAACCAUUAAAGGGAGCAGUUGUGUACAAAAUGUAUUAUACACAGGUCCCACGCAGAGGAGUUAGAGGGAGGAUUUAAUACAUAAGAAAAGAGGUUCCUGGUGUCCUGAGGGGCAGUUCCCUCCCUGCUGGCUACCUGAGUGGGCUAAUCUUCAGCCCCCAAAUGAGGCCUAUAUGGAAAAGGAUGACAUCGAGCAAAGGGCAUAGGUGGAAACUCCUUCCCUACAACACAUCAUCUGCUACUCUCAGCUCAAAGGUUUAAAGAGAGCAAGAAGAUUUACUUCAGAUGGUCCGUGUCCCUGUCACCAUCCCCAUCUCCAUUUCUGACAGGAGUGUAUAGGGAGGCGAAAAGAAGGUGGCUGUCAUUGGGAAACAAGAUAAUACAUACAUAGGAAAUUAAAUGGUAGUGAAUGAAUAAUGCUAAAGGCUAGAAAAAGUUGUAGAGAAGCAAAGAGAGGCCGAGAGCUGAGCCACCGCAGAGGAGAUGCCCACCAUUGCUGGAUAAUUUAUUUUGGAAACAGGGCUGAGAAUGGAAAUCUGAUUUUCUGGCAAAAAACCCUAAUCUAUCAUAAGAGGCUAUGUUACCUUAGCCCAACAGAGGUCUAUAUCCUGAAAUCAUAAAGGUUCAGAAGACCAGAAUACAAGCCCAGUGUUCAGGUCAAGAGAACAAGAUCCUUGGAAUCAGACACACUGGAAUAAAAAUUGAAAUUCUUUCACUUAU